AACGAACGCUGGCGGCAGGCUUAACACAUGCAAGUCGAACGGGUGUCGCAAGACAUCAGUGGCAGACGGGUGAGCAACACGUGGGAACCUUCCUAGGGGUACGGAACAACUCAGGGAAACUUGAGCUAAUACCGUAUACGUCCGUAAGGAGAAAGAUUCAUCGCCCCUAGACGGGCCCGCGUCGGAUUAGGUAGUUGGUGGGGUAACGGCCUACCAAGCCUACGAUCCGUAGCUGAUCUGAGAGGANGAUCAGCCACACUGGGACGUGAGACACGGCCCAGACUCCUACGGGAGGCAGCAGUGGGGAAGUCUUGGACAAUGGGCGGCAAGCCUGAUCCA
rnacentral:rRNA from 1 species